rnacentral:ncRNA from 1 species
UAGUUUCGUACUUGGCCGACAAUAGUGCGACUUGGUAGCGUAAUAUAUAUAUAUAUAUAUGAAAAACUCUGAAUACUAGAUAUGACCUCAAAAUAACUGGGGUCAAAGUCGCUAGUGAGACGAUUGGGAUAAAGCUUCAUCGUCGAGAGAGAAACAACCUAGAUCACCAGCUAAGACCCUUAAAUGAUCGCUCGAUGAUAAAGGAGGUAGGGGUGCAUAGACAGCUAGGAAGUUUGCCUAGAAGAAGCCACCCUUGAAAGAGUGCGUAAUAGCUCCGUGAUCGAGCGCUCUUGUGUGUGUGUCUCUCUCUGUGUGUGUGUGUAUAUAUAUAUAUAGGC